rnacentral:lncRNA from 1 species
ACCAGAAGUCAGAUUCUGAGGUCUCAGAAGGCCUUGGAAGUUGCAUGGGGGCCCUGCGGUGUGGGUGAUGAGCACCCACAACAAAACUUUUAUGGGUGCUCAGGCACCCAUAGCUCCCCAUAGUUGGCACCCCUGAUGUGAUGACAGGCAUUGAGCCAGUUACUGCUGCAAAGUGCAAGGGUAGAAGUUUGUACCCUGCAAGAAGAUGCUUGCUUCACUGAGACAGGCAAGGAGCGAUGCCCAGCUGAUCGCCAGCCAAUGUGCCAAUGACUACUGGCUAAAGCUGUGUCAAAGCAUUCAACUUACUGCUGAUAGUAGCAACACUUGCAAAAUGUACAAAAGCAUGAAGAAAAGCCUUUGGGCCAAUAGUCAGGAAAACUGCACUGCUGAGAACUGCUCUGAGAGACAAUCACAGACUGCAGCAAGCAGAUGAAGCGAUGGGCAGAGCACUGUCAAGAACUGUACUCAUGGGAAUGCAUGGCCGCUGACACAGCAGUCAACAGUGUCCAGACUCUGUGGGUCUUGGGACAGCUGGAUGUCCCUUCCUGUCAUUAUAAGCUGAAGAACGCCAUCAAGUCUCAGGCAUGUGGUAAAGCCCCAGGACAGGAAGGAAUCCCGACAGAAGUGCUGAAAGCCAACUUCAAUUCCUCCCGAAUGACGCACAUCCUACAAUAAGACAUGUCUUUCCAUGUUUCAGUCUCUACAGCCGCAGCAGGUGUUGCAGCUUUCCAGUGGUUUGACUUAACCCUUGAGGGUCUGCUCUUUCAUUGGUCUCCCAAGGCAGACAGACGCCAACAACUCCAUUGUUUAUCUCUGUUUUCAGAUGUUAGUCUCUCUGUUUCCUUCCAUAGAGUAAGCCAUCCUUGAAAUAUUUAUAUUGAAUGUUGGACUGUACAUUUUAUAAAACAAUGAAACAUACAAAUCAACAAGGUGAUAUGAUAAAGGCAUAUGGUCUGCUGUGGUGUGCUAACUCAUUCCACUGUCAUUGUAUUAUACAGGUGUUGCAGGCUUUCAUAGCACUUUCCAAACCUGCCACACCUCCAGGGCCUUUCCACCCAUGAGGCAAGGUGAGGCAAUUACCUCAGGAUGGCAGGCUCUGGAUAACUUAGAAAGACUGCCUGGUCCUCCUCCACUGCACACCCACAGUCUGCACGCCCACUGCCAACACUGGAAGGCAGAGGGCAGACACACAAGAGCGGGUGUACAGUGGGCAUGGAGCUGUUGCACGGAGGAGGAGGUGGUGGUGUGUGAAUGCACCUGCUACAGGAGAUGGGUGCAUAACAACAGGUGCACAGUCAAGAAGGAGGUGGAGGGGAGAGGGAAAGGUGGCAUUUUUGGUUUUGCCUCUAGUGGGCCAUCCAGGGCCAGUCCUGCAAACCUCUUUGUCUACAGGCAUUGAAAAUGAGUGUGUAUGCCAUAGGCAAUGUUGUCUCUCCUAUCCCACUUUCAUCUUCCUCUUAAUAACUCUUGUCAGUUUCAGCCCCCACUAACAUUUUAAGGAACCUGGAGGAUAUCCUAAAAAUCUUUAAACGGUUUCAUUGGCUCUCUGUAUCAUGCCACAUCCCAUUUCUACAGAAGGAUUUGUCAGGGAGGGGGGCAGAAAAAGAAGUAUCAAGUGUUUAAUGUGUUGUUGAUUUUUCAGGGGUGCCUAUGCAUAAGUUAAAAGGGCAUUAAGAUGCUAAAUCAGAACAGCAGAGCACGAGACACCUGUCUGCAAGCAAAGACAGCAGAUGCAGAGAAAGCUGGAAAUUUCUGGCCAAAUGGGAAUAGCUGAAAGAACCAAGACACUGAGAUAGGUAUUGCCUAUGAGAUGAGUCCAUGAAUAAAUUGACUGGAAUUCAUAUGGAUGUUAAUUUGUGACAUCCCAAUAAAGGCACUGUGCUACCCAGCUUAGAACCAGAUUCUCUACUGUUUGUAUCACCAAAGGCCCCUGUGCAAAGGGGAGGCAUGCAGUUGGUUCAAGAUGGGGUGUGAACACAACAAGGAGCAAUCCUUCCAGUAAUAAGAAUCAACUAAACCCUGGAAGCCAAUUCAAUGCUACUUACUGAUCAGCUGGUGUUAAGGUAUGUUGUACUCCUAUAGUUUAUUUUGUCAGGUGUGAGAGAAUUUGCAGACAAAUACAACAGGGAACCUUGUACUCAGGAGCAAAGGGUAGCCCCUAGGCCUCUUUAACAAAUGAAUUAAAUACAUAAACAUAUAAUCUCUUUUGACUUCCACCCCCAUUGUUAAUCUUAAUGUAAUGAUUUCCCCUUCCACAUGUCUUUUAUAACUCUAUUUUUAUAAAUCCUUUGUCAAUCCAUAGUUUGAAAUUUUACAAGUUUUCUGUCAAUCCUACCAAUGUAUGUAAUUGUUUUCAAC